AUUGCACAGCAGUAACCAGGCCCCCCUUCCUUCACCCCCACAGUGUUAGUGGAGGCCUUCCUACCCUAACCAGGCAGGGAUACACCAGUGAAGCCUAGUGGGGACAUGAAUACCCAUCUCCACCUAGGAGUAACAAGAAGCCUCCACCCCUUGAGUGUCAGCAGGGUCCAAGUGGGAGAAACUGGACUUCUACCUCCACUGGGCAAUACUGAGGCAGCACCCCAUUCUUCCCCUGCUGGAGUGGUGUCAAAGAAAACCAGCUAAAACAGAAGUCUAAGUAAGACCCAGAGUCAUAUAGCAUAACAUCCAACAUGUCCAGGUUUCAACUGAGAAUCACUCAACAUCCCAAGAACCAGGAAGACCUCAAACUGAAUGAAUAAAAGACAAUUAUGAUUAAAGGCACAGCAGGGAAUUGAAACAUUCAUCUUGCCAAUAGGAUUAGGUAAUUAGGCAGCAACUGAUCAGCUACCAUAGCUGGACUACUGCUGGGCACCAGAAGUCAGAAACAGCUCUUAGAAGACAUGCCAACAUAGCUGCUCCCUCCCUCAUCAAACUUGUCAGUAAGGCUUCAUUAAUUUCCUCUCCAUUCCUGGAGUGGGAUGGUUGAAUCAGAGUGGGACUGUGUGUGUCUGGAAGUGACCUCAACUUAAUCAGACCUCAACUCAAUCAACUAGGAAACUUCUAGGGCCGGGCAACCUACUCCAGUCCCAGUUCUUGUAGUAAUUUGACCAUAGUGAAUCCACAACUGGGUUCAUUUAAUACUCCAAAAUUCAUGGUUUGACCACAGUUUUAUUUUGGUGGUGACUAAACUAACCCCACCUCCGGGAGAUGAACUGACAGUACCUCUGGGCAUCCUAAGCAUGCUCUGGAUAAAACAACAGUCACCAUCAAGGAGAUAACAUCAUGCAGGACAGCUGGGAGGUUGAUGCUGAUGUGCACAGCAGAUAUGAAGUAGGCACCGUCAAGGGCAAGGUGAAGGGGCCCUGGCAGUGCCUAACACAGAUGUGUUUUGAGGAAUGUCUUCUCAGUCAUAAAACAGGCACCUGGCAUUAUAGAUGACAGAUUCAUAUACAAAACAAAUGGGUACAUAAAUGCUCUCUGAGGCUGGCCUCAUUAUCGAGGAUUUAAACUAAGUGAGAUGAACAGAUGUUUACAACAUUUUACUUUCCACAGUUUCCGC
rnacentral:lncRNA from 1 species